rnacentral:lncRNA from 1 species
UUGAUUUCCAACUCUUCACUCUUAGAACCAAUUGUUUGGUCAAAUGUUGUCUCUCGCUGUCUGGUAGCCCCAGAAUCUCCUGUAAUUCCAGAUCUCUUGUGUGCCCAGCUUGGGUUACAGCGAGUUCUCAAGCAGCCAGGGCUACACAAGUCUUUGGAAAUGGAAGGUGUUGCCAGCUCUCUGUAUUUUCAUUGCAUGAUGGAAAAUGUAUCCAGCUGUGUCCUUGUAGUCACUAUUUAGCUAUGCCUACAAUAUAGCACUCUGUAUACACAUUUCUUGAAAUGAUUAUGUGUACCAAAUGAAUGAGAAACACGCCAAUACUACUCUAAAGCCUCUCAGGAAAUGAGAACAUUUACUAAGGGACUAUGAAGGAAAUCCAUGGCCUGAUUGUCACCUGAGGCCAUGAUGAUGUCCCUGUCUGGGCUUCUGCCAUAGUCCAUGUCUUGCCCAUGGCCCAGACACAGAUGUGGGUGUCCAUGUGAAUAGUCAUGUCUCCUUUUACCAGUGCGGUCCUUGCAGCCCACUACUAAAUCUGUAGCAAGAGAAAUCUGUAGCUUAGUUUAUUUAGUUUGUUUUUUGGUUGCGUUUUGUUUGCUUUAGUUUUUAAAGUUUUCUUAUUUAUGGCUCUUUUUUAUGGUUCUUUUUAUGGUUCUUUCUUAUGGUUUGAAUUUUUCUGUUUAUUUUUUCUUCAUUUAGUUGUUGUUGUUGUUUUUGUAUUUUUCUAAGUUGACUCACAGUUUAUAUUUUCUGUUCCCUUUACUUCUGUAUUUAGUAAACUGACUGUAUUUUCAUGAAUAUAAAUUGAUUUCCAACUCUUCACUCUUGGAACCAAUUGUUUGGUUAAAUGUUGUCUCUCACUGUCUGGUAGCCCCAGAAUCUCCUGUAAUUCCAGAUCUCUUGUGUGCCCAGCUUGGGUUACAGCGAGUUCUCAAGCAGCCAGGGCUACACAAGUCUUUGGAAGUGGAUGGUGUUGCCAGCUCUCUGUAUUUUCAUUGCAUGAUGGAAAAAGUAUCCAGCUGUGUCCUUGUAGUCACUAUUUAGCUAUGCCUACAAUAUAGCACUCUGUAUACACAUUUCUUGAAAUGAUUAUGUGUACCAAAUUAAUGAGAAACACGCAAAUACUGCUCUAAAGCCUCUCAGGAAAUGAGAACAUUUACUAAGGGACUAUGAAGGAAAUCCAUGGCCUGAUUGUUACAUGAGGCCAUGAUGAUGUCCCUGUCCGGGCUUCUGCCAUAGUCCAUGUCUUGCCCAUGGCCCAGACACAGAUGUGGGUGUCCAUAGGAAUAGUCAUGUCUCCUUUUACCAGUGAGGGCCUUGCAUCCCACUGCUAAAUCUGUAGCAAGAGAAAUCUGUAGCUUAGUUUAUUUAGUUUGUUUUUUGGUUGGGUUUUGUUUGCUUUAGUUUUUAAGGUUUCUUUUUUAUGGUUCCUUUUUAUGGUUUUUUUAUGGUUUGAAUUUUUCUGUGUAUUUGUUCUUCAUUUAGUUGUUGUUGUUGUUUUUGUAUUUUUCUAAGUUGACUGAC